rfam:Myotis davidii contig83547, whole genome shotgun sequence.
AGUGGUUGUCAAGUGACGCAGCCCUGAAUUGGGCUCCCUCCUCUCUGGUUCCGGGUACGUCAUGUGAGAACAACA